CUCAAAAUGAUAAGUAACUAUUGCAUUACUCUUAAUGCAUAGUUUUAUGGAAACUGACUAACAAUAUUCCAUGUUUAGAUCAUGAAAGUUUCAGGAUAACGAGAUCCAUUGACACCAGUUACCGUGGAACAUGAACCAGUUGGACUACAUUAUCUAUGGAUGUAAUACUUCAUCAUCAUUCUUUAUCAGACACUGUUUCUAUGGUCCCACAUAACACUUUUCCAGACCGUGUUUUCAGAUUUGACAAUACUGUACACCCACUUCAUUAGGUACACCUGCGUGCUAAUGCAAAUACACUGCUCCUUCGAGCAGCGAAUCAUGUGGCUGCCUGCCACUCAAUAAGAGUAUAUACAGUUGAAGUCAGAAGUUUACAUACACUUAGGUUGGAGUCAUUAAAACUUGUUUUUCAACCACUCCACAAAUUUCUUGUUAACAAACUAUAGUUUUGGCAAGUCAGUUUGGACAUCUACUUUGUGCAUGCCACAAGUGCAUUUUUCCAACAAUUGUUUACAGACAGAUUAUUAAAUGUAUAAUUCACUGUAUCCCAAUUCCAGUGGGUCAGAAGUUUACAUAGACAAAGUUGACUGUACCGUUAAACAGGUUGGAAAAUUCCAGAAAAUGAUGUCAUGGCUUUAGAAGCUUCUGAUAGGUUAAUUGACAUCAUUUGAGUCAAUUGGAGGUGUACCUGUGGAUGUAUUUCAAGGCCUACCUUCAAACUCAGUGCCUCUUUGCUUGACAUCAUGGGAAAAUCUAAAUAAAUCAGCCCAGACCUCAGAAAUAAAAUUGUAUACCUCCACAAGUCUGGUUCAUCCUUGGGAGCAAUUUCCAAAUGCCCUGAAGGUACCACGUUCAUCUGUACAAACAAUACUACGCAAGUAUAAACACCAUGGGACCACGCAGCCGUCAUACCGCUCAGGAAGGAGACGCGUUCUGUCUCCGAGAGAUUAACGUACUUUGGUGUGAAAAGUGCAAAUCAAUCCCAGAACAACAGCAAAGGACCUUGUGAAGAUGCUGGAGGAAACGGGUACAAAAGUAUCUAUAUCCACAGUAAUUUGGGGCAUAAGAGCUUUGCGUGCCCACAUAAAGGCCGUAGACAAGGUAAGGGUACCAGCACCAGUGGGGGAAAGAGGUCAACGUGCAGGGGGUCAUGAGACGCAGGCAGCAGAGGCUGGGCCCCGUCAUGCUACAAAUUGUGGUGUAAAUGAGGCUGGGACUAGUCAGGCUAUAGAUGGUGGUGUAGAUGAGGCUGGGACUAGUCAGGCUAUAGAUGGUGGUGUAGAUGAGGCUGGGACUAGUCAGGCUAUAGAUGGUGGUGUAGAUGAGGCUGGGUCUAGUCAUAUCAUGGAUGAUGGUGUAAAUGAGGCUGGGCCAAGUCAGGCUAUAGAUGGUGGUGUAGAUGAGGCUGGGUUUAGUCAUAUCAUGGAUGGUGGUGUAAAUGAGGCUGGGACUAGUCAGGCUAUAGAUGGUGGUGUAGAUGAGGCUGGGACUAGUCAGGCUAUAGAUGGUGGUGUAGAUGAGGCUGGGUUUAGUCAUAUCAUGGAUGGUGGUGUAAAUGAGGCUGGGCCAAGUCAGGUUAUAGAUGGUGGUGUAGAUGAGGCUGGGACUAGUCAGGCUAUAGAUGGUGGUGUAGAUGAGGCUGGGUUUAGUCAUAUCAUGGAUGAUGGUGUAAAUGAGGCUGGGACUAGUCAGGUUAUGCUAUUUUGGUGCGUACUUUGGUGCGGAAAGUGCAAAUCAAUCCCAGACAAAAAUAAAA
rnacentral:lncRNA from 1 species